rnacentral:lncRNA from 1 species
UUUUCUUAAGAUCUUGUAACCAGUAGAAAUUUUAGAGAAUAUGCAUAAUCUUGAGGUACAAACUUAUCUUUACAUAGAAAUUACCUAUAGAUAUAUAUAUAUAUAUCCACAAUAUUUAUGUUGAAAAUUAUGUUCAAUAUAUAUGACAUGUCACUAGAAUAUGUAAAUGCAAAAAUAUGUAUACACUGAUGUGAGUAUUCAGUAUAGUCGAGUACGUGAUAUGAAAGGAAGAGCAGAAAAGAAAAAAAAAAGGCUGUAAAGAGCUAGCGUGACCUAAAUUACACUCUUACAUGAUAACUACUACAACAACAGCAUAUAUACAUAAAAGAUGUCUUGUAUGAUUUAAUCCAGACACAUAUGCACACUCACCAACUCAACUAUGACAAAACGCGUUUCCCCCUCUUCAUUUCCCCUAGUCUUCUUCUUUCCUUUUCUGACAGCCCUCAGUAUCAAAUUUCCUACUGAAUUUUUAAAAAAUAUCGGUUUAUAAUUAUUUUAUCAAUAUUUUAACAGAUCAGUAGAAACUUACAAUUAACAUCUUAUUAUUGAAUUAAAUAAAUUUGUAUUUCAAAAUAGGGGGCUAUCCCAAAAAAUCAGUUAAAUAUCUAUAUAACAAAGGAUUUUCUUUUAUCUUAAGAUUUUGAAAGAUUUGAAAAAUAUUUACAAGACAUUUGAUGACAAGUAAUAAUGAGAACCCGGAAAAUGAAUAUUUUAAAAAGUGUAGAAGCCAUGAUUUACUCGUAAAAUAGGAAUGAAAUCCUCAUUUCAUAUCACAAAAUGAAUAAUUCAAAUUUCUACUCAUGAAUUCGAGAUUUCAAUUCUUAAUUAUUCGAUUCAUUAAUCAUGAAACAGACGUCAUUAACCAUGAAACACACAUCUGGCCCAAACCGCUGUUAAAAGAAAUGGUCUCAGCUCACCCUUACACUCCCUGUGCCUCUCCUCCCACCUUAAUGGUAUAUAUAUAAACAUGCACACACAAUUACAAAUACAGUAUCCAUCAUCUUCACACCACACUAGAAUUUUAUAUCAAACAUUCAAACUCCAACUCUCCCCCAUACAUAAGCCUCUGCUCCCCCGCCCUCUCAAAUAUCAAUUACCUCCAUGGCUCAGUCCAAAGCCCUUCUGAAAGCACUUAUUUUUCUCAUCUCCAUAUGCUUCUCCUCAGCUAAAUCAAACUAUAAUCCAAACACUCACAACCCAUCUUCCUUACAUAACAAAUCUCUAUCUCUCUCCUUCUCUCUAUCAUCUCUCCCUCUCUCUCCUCACUCUACUCUCAGAGCUUCACUCAUCAAAUCAUCUUCCUCACAAAGACCCAAAACACAAAUCUCUCCAAACUCAUACCUAAACUAUGNUACAUGAUAACUACUACAACAACAGCAUAUAUACAUAAAAGAUGUCUUGUAUGAUUUAAUCCAGACACAUAUGCACACUCACCAACUCAACUAUGACAAAACGCGUUUCCCCCUCUUCAUUUCCCCUAGUCUUCUUCUUUCCUUUUCUGACAGCCCUCAGUAUCAAAUUUCCUACUGAAUUUUUAAAAAAUAUCGGUUUAUAAUUAUUUUAUCAAUAUUUUAACAGAUCAGUAGAAACUUACAAUUAACAUCUUAUUAUUGAAUUAAAUAAAUUUGUAUUUCAAAAUAGGGGGCUAUCCCAAAAAAUCAGUUAAAUAUCUAUAUAACAAAGGAUUUUCUUUUAUCUUAAGAUUUUGAAAGAUUUGAAAAAUAUUUACAAGACAUUUGAUGACAAGUAAUAAUGAGAACCCGGAAAAUGAAUAUUUUAAAAAGUGUAGAAGCCAUGAUUUACUCGUAAAAUAGGAAUGAAAUCCUCAUUUCAUAUCACAAAAUGAAUAAUUCAAAUUUCUACUCAUGAAUUCGAGAUUUCAAUUCUUAAUUAUUCGAUUCAUUAAUCAUGAAACAGACGUCAUUAACCAUGAAACACACAUCUGGCCCAAACCGCUGUUAAAAGAAAUGGUCUCAGCUCACCCUUACACUCCCUGUGCCUCUCCUCCCACCUUAAUGGUAUAUAUAUAAACAUGCACACACAAUUACAAAUACAGUAUCCAUCAUCUUCACACCACACUAGAAUUUUAUAUCAAACAUUCAAACUCCAACUCUCCCCCAUACAUAAGCCUCUGCUCCCCCGCCCUCUCAAAUAUCAAUUACCUCCAUGGCUCAGUCCAAAGCCCUUCUGAAAGCACUUAUUUUUCUCAUCUCCAUAUGCUUCUCCUCAGCUAAAUCAAACUAUAAUCCAAACACUCACAACCCAUCUUCCUUACAUAACAAAUCUCUAUCUCUCUCCUUCUCUCUAUCAUCUCUCCCUCUCUCUCCUCACUCUACUCUCAGAGCUUCACUCAUCAAAUCAUCUUCCUCACAAAGACCCAAAACACAAAUCUCUCCAAACUCAUACCUAAACUAUGAUGUCAGAUCGUCUUUCAAGUAUUCAAUGGCUCUGAUUGUUUCUCUUCCAAUAGGGACCCCACCACAAACUCAAAACAUGGUUCUUGACACAGGAAGUCAGUUGUCAUGGAUUCAGUGUAAUAAAAAACCUGAUCCGACGUCGUUUGAUCCUGCGCUCUCAUCAACUUU